UUGUGAAUGCAGUGUGUGUGUGUGUGUGUGUGUGAUGUAACAUUCUGGCAUGUGUGUACUUUUCGGAAAGCGGAAAAAAUUCAGUACAGACGCACAGACAGAUGCCUGUGGAGCAAGAAUCUGAGUGAAGCCAGCAGAGAAGGUGAUGAGGACGACUGGGUAUAAUGUAAGGAGGAUAAAGAUGCCACUGAUGACUUUCCCUGCAUGUCUCACCUUGGAGGCAAAUGGCGAUGCAGAAGUCCACCACCCAGCUGACCAACGCCAUGACUAGUCCCAGCAAGAUGAGAAAAAUCCAGUCCUCCCCGACCCGCGAGAUCAAGAACUUCUGGCAGCGAACCGUGCAAACUACAGGAAAGACAAUAGGACAGCUGGAGCAAAUUACCAACAUAUAUAUAUAUACAUAUUUUAAAUCAAUAUUAACUUGUUAAUAGUGUUUUCAAAUGAA